ACCUGUUGUAUUCAGCAUUUCACUGUCAGGUCUACUACACCUGUUGUAUUCAGCAUUUCACUGUGAGGUCUACUACACCUGUUGUAUUCAGCAUUUCACUGUGAGGUCUACUACACCUGUUGUAUUCAGCAUUUCACUGUGAGGUCUACUACACCUGUAGUAUUCAGCAUUUCACUGUAAGGUCUACUACACCUGUUGUAUUCAGCAUUUCACUGUAAGGUCUACGACACCUGUUGUAUUCAGCAUUUCACUGUGAGGUCUACUACACCUGUAGUAUUCAGCAUUUCACUGUGAGGUCUACUACACCUGUUGUAUUCAGCAUUUCACUGUAAGGUCUACUACACCUGUUGUAUUCAGCAUUUCACUGUAAGGUCUACUACACCUGUUGUAUUCAGCAUUUCACUGUGAGGUCUACUACACCUGUUGUAUUCAGCAUUUCACUGUAAGGUCUACUACACCUGUUGUAUUCAGCAUUUCACUGUCAGGUCUACUACACCUGUUGUAUUCAGCAUUUCACUGUGAGGUCUACUACACCUGUUGUAUUCAGCAUUUCACUGUGAGGUCUACUACACCUGUAGUAUUCAGCAUUUCACUGUAAGGUCUACUACACCUGUUGUAUUCAGCAUUUCACUGUAAGGUCUACUACACCUGUUGUAUUCAGCAUUUCACUGUAAGGUCUACUACACCUGUUGUAUUCAGCAUUUCACUGUGAGGUCUACUACACCUGUUGUAUUCAGCAUUUCACUGUGAGGUCUACUACACCUGUUGUAUUCAGUAUUUCACUGUGAGGUCUACUACACCUGUUUUAUUCAGCAUUUCACUGUAAGGUCUACUACACCUGUUGUAUUCAGCAUUUCACUGUCAGGUCUACUACACCUGUUGUAUUCAGCAUUUCACUGUGAGGUCUACUACACCUGUUGUAUUCAGCAUUUCACUGUGAGGUCUACUACACCUGUUGUAUUCAGCAUUUCACUGUGAGGUCUACUACACCUGUUGUAUUCAGCAUUUCACUGUAAGGUCUACUACACCUGUUGUAUUCAGCAUUUCACUGUAAGGUCUACUACACCUGUUGUAUUCAGCAUUUCACUGUGAGGUCUACUACACCUGUUGUAUUCAGUAUUUCACUGUGAGGUCUACUACACCUGUUUUAUUCAGCAUUUCACUGUAAGGUCUACUACACCUGUUGUAUUCAGCAUUUCACUGUCAGGUCUACUACACCUGUUGUAUUCAGCAUUUCACUGUGAGGUCUACUACACCUGUUGUAUUCAGCAUUUCACUGUGAGGUCUACUACACCUGUUGUAUUCAGCAUUUCACUGUGAGGUCUACUACACCUGUAGUAUUCAGCAUUUCACUGUAAGGUCUACUACACCUGUUGUAUUCAGCAUUUCACUGUAAGGUCUACUACACCUGUUGUAUUCAGCAUUUCACUGUGAGGUCUACUACACCUGUUGUAUUCAGCAUUUCACUGUGAGGUCUACUACACCUGUAGUAUUCAGCAUUUCACUGUAAGGUCUACUACACCUGUUGUAUUCAGCAUUUCACUGUAAGGUCUACUACACCUGUUGUAUUCAGCAUUUCACUGUAAGGUCUACUACACCUGUUGUAUUCAUCAUUUCACUGUGAGGUCUACUACACCUGUUGUAUUCAGCAUUUCACUGUAAGGUCUACUACACCUGUUGUAUUCAGCAUUUCACUGUGAGGUCUACUACACCUGUUGUAUUCAGCAUUUCACUGUAAGGUCUACUACACCUGUUGUAUUCAGCAUUUCACUGUGAGGUCUACUACACCUGUAGUAUUCAGCAUUUCACUGUAAGGUCUACUACACCUGUUGUAUUCAGCAUUUCACUGUAAGGUCUACUACACCUGUUGUAUUCAGCAUUUCACUGUCAGGUCUACUACACCUGUUGUAUUCAGCAUUUCACUGUGAGGUCUACUACACCUGUUGUAUUCAGCAUUUCACUGUGAGGUCUACUACACCUGUUGUAUUCAGCAUUUCACUGUGAGGUCUACUACACCUGUAGUAUUCAGCAUUUCACUGUAAGGUCUACUACACCUGUUGUAUUCAGCAUUUCACUGUAAGGUCUACUACACCUGUUGUAUUCAGCAUUUCACUGUCAGGUCUACUACACCUGUUGUAUUCAGCAUUUCACUGUGAGGUCUACUACACCUGUUGUAUUCAGCAGUUCACUGUAAGGUCUACUACACCUGUUGUAUUCAGCAUUUCACUGUGAGGUCUACUACACCUGUUGUAUUCAGCAUUUCACUGUAAGGUCUACUACACCUGUUGUAUUCAGCAUUUCACUGUAAGGUCUACUACACCUGUUGUAUUCAGCAUUUCACUGUGAGGUCUACUACACCUGUUGUAUUCAGCAUUUCACUGUGAGGUCUACUACACCUGUUGUAUUCAGCAUUUCACUGUAAGGUCUACUACACCUGUUGUAUUCAGCAUUUCACUGUAAGGUCUACUACACCUGUUGUAUUCAGCAUUUCACUGUCAGGUCUACUACACCUGUUGUAUUCAGCAUUUCACUGUGAGGUCUACUACACCUGUUGUAUUCAGCAGUUCACUGUAAGGUCUACUACACCUGUUGUAUUCAG